ensembl:lncRNA
GCCAUAGAGCUGCAGAGGAGAGACUGCAGGUAGAGGCCCGAUGCUCCUUUUCCUCUGUGUGUGUUUAUCGCGCGCUCUUUGGGAGGAUUUUGAAGCUGACACCAUGUGAUCUGAUGCCAUUGGAAGGCCAAUGAGAAACGAGACGGGCACAGAAGGUAAAGGUAAAAGCAAAGCUUUUUCCUCUGGAGGACUCAUUAAAGCAGGCCGCCUCUGUGUGCUUCUGAGCUGCCCUCUAAUCCACGACCACAGCUUCACAGAGCCGACACACUUUCCCCCACCUAUACAUGCAGACCCACAGUACUGAGCUGUCUUCUCACAGUGGACGGACGGACAGAAAUACCUGUGCAUUUUUUCAAAUCUGAAGCAAGAGUGAAGCUUGAUUGUCUCUUUUCUCUUAAAGGUAAAAGCUGUAAGUGCUGUUUAGCUGAUGGUAAAAGUGGUCUACCACAUCUUUCAAAGUUGUAAGGAGCUGUAUAAUUUCCACAUUUGUUUUUCAUUUUUUGAAUUUCAGUUUUGCCACUAUUAUAAUAUCUGAUAGCGUGAUAACAAUUAACAAAUGAUAUGUUGUGCUGUCCUAAAACAAGACCCCCAUAUACACAUUGAAGUGUACAAGCACAAGUGUAUAUGCAUGUCUAUAUACAUUACACAUACACAUGUGCACACACAGGGUCAUUGUUUCCUGCUCUCCUGAGCUGCUUCCUGAAUGGAAAGACAGGAGGCUAUUGGUUAAGGAGGGAUGAUCUUCACUGCAACACAUGCUCAGCUCCAAUGACAGUAAGAUGAGAAACAACACCUGACACAUGUGGGAAAACACAAAACACACUCAAAUACACACAGUAAAGAAGCCUUCAGGGCUAAACAGGUCACAUAAAACCCACAUGUAACACCAUCACCCCCCCAAACACACACAUACACACUUCCAUACACAAAACCCACUUAAAACACAUUUAUUUACACAAAAACCCACCUUCCACUCACGCACACACACAAAAACCCAUUUAGCAGACACAUAUACACUUAAACUCAAAACUCAUGUAUCAUACACACAAAUAUACAAAACCUACCUAACACACAUACAUGCAGAGAAGCAGAGAAUAACAUAAUUUCUUUAAAAUAAAAAAGGACAUGUCUGUAAUUUUCAGUUCAAGCACUGUUUUAACUUUCAAUGGUUGGGAACACUCUAGGCCUUCUGGAAGUCCUAUAUAGGUCACUGAUUGCAAGUAUGAGUGGUAGUUUAACCAAUGUGUUUUAUUCAGUUGUUAGAAAUGGAAAACAGUGUUAGCUCUAUGCCAGGGCUCUUUACUGAAAGCAUCACUGUAAAACUGCUAGUGUUGUAUAUAAUGUAAAAUGUAUGUUAAUGUCGUUUACAAGCUUUGCAGCAAAAAAGUAUUAAUAAAAAUCACGUAAGCUUAGGAGUAAUAUGCUAGCAGAAAUGAACGUUAUCACAGAGGUGUUCCUUUUCUUCAAGGUCUUGGUAUUUGUGGCUCAAACUGAAGGCCUAGCUCUAAUAAUCACAGUUCCCCACUAGUGGUGUGUGGUGUGAUGACUAAUAGACAGCACUGGAC